GGAGAUAUGGUGGAAUGGUAUACACGAUAAAUUUAAAAUUUGUUAGCAAAUUUGCUAUAAGGGUUCAAGUCCCUUUAUCUCUA
rnacentral:tRNA from 1 species